CUUGUCCUCUAUGACUUCACAUCUGAAGUCACACAUCAUGCCUUCUGCAGUGUUCUAUGAGUCAUAUGGUUCAUCCUGAUUUAGGCUGUAAGCAGAUUGCAUCAUGGCGCGGAUACCAGGAGAGGAACAUCUGAGGCUGCGCAAUCUCUAAGGAAAAGAGGUUUAUUUGGCUCACUGCUCUGUGGGCUGUACAAGAAGCAUGGCACCAGCAUCUGCUCCUGGUGAGAGGCUCAGGCUGCUUCCACUCAUGGCAGAAGGUGAGGGGAGGUGUAAUGUGCUAAGAUCAUACGGUGAGAGAGAAAGCAAGGAGGGAGGAGGGAGGCGCCAGGCUCUAUUUAACAACCAGCUCUCUUGAGAAUGAAUAAAGCAAGAACUC
rnacentral:lncRNA from 1 species